GCUGCCCCUGCCGUGAUUUUUUAAAUUAAAAUUUUAAAUUUUAAACAUUCUGUUGUCUUGCUUCCCCCCCCUUGACAAUAUGGCUUCCCUUGGGUAUCCCGAUUUCAAUCGAUUUCCGUGCGAGCGCUGUGUCUCCAAGUUGGGAGACAUCAAUUCUUGAUGUGCACUGGGCCCCAAUGCCUGAAAACAUUGUGAGGCUUGUGCCUCCGCAGGUAAAUCCUGCAAACCUGUGUGUGAUAUGCCCCUACUGAGGCGCAUCAUGCGCGGGCGCGCCUUUAUUUUCGCGGGGGUGGCGGCCGGGGAGGAUAUGGCCCGCCACAAAGAUCGCCUUCGUCACUUGGUAAAGCGAUUGGACGCACCUCGCCUGGCGAUGCUGCCCGCUCGGGGUAGGGCAGGUAGGGCAGGGGCAAAUGCCCUGUGGUCCCAGCACCGGGCGGCAGUUGAGCCUGUGGGGAUGCAGGUUAUGGAGGCAGUGGUGAUGCGCGUUCUUCCCAGGGCGGAGGUGGAAGAGGA
rnacentral:sRNA from 2 species